rnacentral:pre_miRNA from 10 species
CGGGGAUUUACCGGGUGGCAGUGUGGUUAGCUGGUUGUCAGCAUAUCGGACAACGGCUAUCAUCACUGCCGUCCUGGUUUUCCUAAA